GAAAUGCGAUAAGUAGUGUGAAUUGCAGAAUUCAGUGAAUCAUCGAAUCUUUGAAUGCACAUUGCGCCCCUUGGUAUUCCAUGGGGCAUGCCUGUUCGAGCGUCAUCUACACCCUCAAGCUCUGCUUGGUGUUGGGCGUCUUUGUCCCGCCUCCGCGCGCGGACUCGCCCCAAAUUCAUUGGCAGCGGUCCUUGCCUCCUCUCGCGCAGCACAUUGCGCUUCUCGAGGUGUUGCGGCCCGCGUCCAGAAAGCAAUCGUUACCGUCUUUGACCUCGGAUCAGGUAGGGAUACCCGCUGAACUUAAGC
rnacentral:misc_RNA from 1 species